rnacentral:rRNA from 1 species
UUAUAACCGGCGAUUUCCGAAUGGGGAAACCCAGUGUGUUUCGACACACUAUCAUUAACUGAAUCCAUAGGUUAAUGAGGCGAACCGGGGGAACUGAAACAUCUAAGUACCCCGAGGAAAAGAAAUCAACCGAGAUUCCCCCAGUAGCGGCGAGCGAACGGGGAGGAGCCCAGAGCCUGAAUCAGUGUGUGUGUUAGUGGAAGCGUCUGGAAAGGCGCGCGAUACAGGGUGACAGCCCCGUACACAAAAAUGCACAUAUUGUGAGCUCGAUGAGUAGGGCGGGACACGUGGUAUCCUGUCUGAAUAUGGGGGGACCAUCCUCCAAGGCUAAAUACUCCUGACUGACCGAUAGUGAACCAGUACCGUGAGGGAAAGGCGAAAAGAACCCCGGCGAGGGGAGUGAAAAAGAACCUGAAACCGUGUAC